ensembl:snRNA U6 U6 spliceosomal RNA
GUGCUCGCUGGGCAGCACAGACACUAGCACAGGAACCAUACAGAGAAGAUCAGCAUGGCUCUGUGCGAGGAUGACAAUGGAAGAGAUGAAGAAUGAAGCU